GUCCUAUGAGUGUGCUGUGUGAGGGUGCUGUGUGUGUGAGGGUGCUGUUUGUGUGAUGUGUGUGGGUGUCGUGUGUUUGUGAGGGUACUGUUAGUGUGCUGUGUGUGAGGGUACUGUUAGUGUGCUGUGUGUGAGGGUGCUGUUUGUGUGCUGUGUGUGUGAGGGUGCUGUGUGUGUGUGUGUGUGUGUUUGUGAGGGUUCUGUU